UUAUUUCCGUAGAUAGGGGGUUGGCAACUCGUGGCUCUAGAGCUGCAUGCGGCUCUUUCAUCCCACUUCUGUGGCUCCCUGU